UACUGGCAGGAUCAACCAGGUAGCAUUCCUUCGCGACGCCGACGCCCGCAUGAGGCCCGACGAGCCUUGCGGCCGUUGGACGCUCAAGACGGGCGCGGCAGUCGUUCGUGUCGAGGNACGAAAUGCAUUGCUUGGGCAAACGAAGGCCGAGAGACCCCGCACCCGCGCAUAACAUUCUGCAUCCGAGAGCACGGGCAGAGCAACUCAUGGGCCAAGGCAACCACGCACGCGGGCGAGGCACGCCAGGAACACGAGGCUCGCCUUGCGUCCACCCCACCACCCGUGAGGGC
rnacentral:misc_RNA from 1 species